UCUUCGGCCAUGUACUCAAGUCUGACCGAGCAACGCCGCGUGAGUGAAGAAGGUUUUCGGAUCGUAAAACUCUGUUGCUAGAGAAGAACAAGGAUGAGAGUAGAACGUUCAUCCCUUGACGGUAUCUAACCAGAAAGCCACGGCUAACUACGUGCCAGCAGCCGCGGUAAUACGUAGGUGGCAAGCGUUGUCCGGAUUUAUUGGGCGUAAAGCGAGCGCAGGCGGUUCUUUAAGUCUGAUGUGAAAGCCCCCGGCUCAACCGGGGAGGGUCAUUGGAAACUGGGGAACUUGAGUGCAGAAGAGGAGAGUGGAAUUCCAUGUGUAGCGGUGAAAUGCGUAGAUAUAUGGAGGAACACCAGUGGCGAAGGCGGCUCUCUGGUCUGUAACUGACGCUGAGGCUCGAAAGCGUGGGGAGCAAACAGG
rnacentral:rRNA from 1 species